UGAGGAAUAUUGGUCAAUGGGCGAGAGCCUGAACCAGCCAAGUAGCGUGCAGGAUGACGGCCCUAUGGGUUGUAAACUGCUUUUAUAUGGGAAUAAAGUGAGGGACGUGUCCCUUAUUGCAUGUACCAGACGAAUAAGGACCGGCUAAUUCCGUGCCAGCAGCCGCGGUAAUACGGAAGGUCCAGGCGUUAUCCGGAUUUAUUGGGUUUAAAGGGAGCGUAGGCUGUUUGUUAAGCGUGUUGUGAAAUGUAGGAGCUCAACUUUUAGAUUGCAGCGCGAACUGGCAGACUUGAGUGCGCACAACGUAGGCGGAAUUCAUGGUGUAGCGGUGAAAUGCUUAGAUAUCAUGACGAACUCCGAUUGCGAAGGCAGCUUACGGGAGCGCAACUGACGCUAAAGCUCGAAGGUGCGGGUAUCGAACAGG
rnacentral:rRNA from 1 species